AGACAUGUCAAGAUCAUAUCCACCAAUGAUUAACCGUCUUCGUUUCUUGGAGACCAAGCUACGUAGAUAAUAACUUGUUGUAAGGUAAGGUACUACCGUAAGUCCCAAGGAAACAAAGUGUGAGAUUAUUGAAAGGGGUUUUAUACCUGAAGAACUGAUCAUGAAGUUGAAGAAGGGAUUAUUCAGGUUCCCAAAUUGAGGGAAUUGGGAACCCGAGGAAGAAGAAGAUGUCGCGAGGUAUAAACAAAACGAAGAAAAAAAGCUUCAAGUUUUGGGAGAAAAUGGAGUUUGUUACCUCAAAGAGAGAUAAUGAUCAUUCAUAGAUGAAAACUGUGAACAACGAUGCAAUUCCAUUUUUGGAGUUUUUCAAAUUUAGCCAAGCUUCCCCUUUUAAA